CAGCCGUAAACGAUGUGCGUUAGGUGUAUCGACGACCACGAGUCGUCGAGGUGCCGAAGGGAAACCGUGAAACGUACCGCCUGGGAAGUACGGUCGCAAGGCUGAAACUUAAAGGAAUUGGCGGGAGAGCACCACAACGGGUGGAGCUUGCGGUUUAAUUGGAUUCAACGCCGGAAAUCUUACCGGGACCGACAGCAACAUGAAGGCCAAGCUGAAGACUUUGCCGGAUUAGCUGAGAGGAGGUGCAUGGCGUAGUCGUGU
rnacentral:rRNA from 1 species